rnacentral:lncRNA from 1 species
UACGUGUGCCAACAAACCAAUAAAAUUAAGAAUUAUUUAAUGGAGGUCCCUACAAAUAUAAUAAAUAAUAAAUAUAUUUCUAUAAAAUUUAGGUUUUAUAUAUUAUUUCUAUAAAAGUUAUAAUAUUUUCAUAUAUAUAUAUAUAUAUAUAUAUAUUUCUCUAAUUUGUAAUCAUUAGAGAAUCGUUAGAAAAUUAUUUAUAUUUUCAAUUUUGUCAUCACAAAUAUAUUAUUUCGAAAGGUAUAACAAUAUAAUAGAAGAGAGAUAAAAAUGUCAAAAAUUAACCAAGAUAAAGUAUUAACUAAAUAUUUUUAACAGAUUCUAACGGCAUGGACAUAUUUGAAAAUAUCAGGACUUUUAUAGGGAUAAUAUAUAAAAAUUAAACUUUGUAGGAAUAUAUUUGUCAUUCACUAUAUUUACAAGACCUGUGUAGUAUCCCUGGUAGCUAGCAGCUGUGGAAUUACAGCAUCUGAGGCUUGUCGACACAUCUGGAGAGUGUCGGGACAAGUCCGAGUUGCGUUGGCACGAAAUAGACACAAAACUGACUUGUUGCGACGCGAGACCAGAUUUUUAGCAUUGAAAUCUGUCAAUUGUAGAUUUUCAGCAAUGCG